UACGGGGGGGGCAAGCGUUGUUCGGAAUUACUGGGCGUAAAGGGUUUGUAGGUGGCUUGCUAAGUCAGACGUGAAAUCCCUCAGCUUAACUGGGGAACUGCGUCUGAUACUGGUGAGCUUGAGUGCAGGAGAGGAACGCGGAAUUCCAGGUGUAGCGGUGAAAUGCGUAGAUAUCUGGAGGAACACCGGUGGCGAAGGCGGCAUCCUGGACCAAUAUUGACGCUGAGGAGCGAAAGCCAGGGGAGCAAACGGG
rnacentral:rRNA from 1 species